rnacentral:rRNA from 1 species
UCGAACGGUAACAGGGAUCAGCUUGCUGAUUCGCUGACGAGUGGCGGACGGGUGAGUAAUGUCUGGGAAACUGCCUGAUGGAGGGGGAUAACUACUGGAAACGGUAGCUAAUACCGCAUAACGUCGCAAGACCAAAGAGGGGGACCUUCGGGCCUCUUGCCAUCGGAUGUGCCCAGAUGGGAUUAGCUAGUAGGUGGGGUAACGGCUCACCUAGGCGACGAUCCCUAGCUGGUCUGAGAGGAUGACCAGCCACACUGGAACUGAGACACGGUCCAGACUCCUACGGGAGGCAGCAGUGGGGAAUAUUGCACAAUGGGCGCAAGCCUGAUGCAGCCAUGCCGCGUGUAUGAAGAAGGCCUUCGGGUUGUAAAGUACUUUCAGCGGGGAGGAAGGGAGUAAAGUUAAUACCUUUGCUCAUUGACGUUACCCGCAGAAGAAGCACCGGCUAACUCCGUGCCAGCAGCCGCGGUAAUACGGAGGGUGCAAGCGUUAAUCGGAAUUACUGGGCGUAAAGCGCACGCAGGCGGUUUGUUAAGUCAGAUGUGAAAUCCCCGGGCUCAACCUGGGAACUGCAUCUGAUACUGGCAAGCUUGAGUCUCGUAGAGGGGGGUAGAAUUCCAGGUGUAGCGG